rnacentral:misc_RNA from 1 species
GAAAUGCGAUAAGUAAUGUGAAUUGCAGAAUUCAGUGAAUCAUCGAAUCUUUGAACGCACAUUGCGCCCGCCAGUAUUCUGGCGGGCAUGCCUGUCCGAGCGUCAUUUCAACCAUCAAGCCCCCGGGCUUGUGUUGGGGACCUGCGGCUGCCCGCAGGCCCUGAAAACCAGUGGCGGGCUCGCUGUCACACCGAGCGUAGUAGCAACCACCUCGCUCAGGGCGUGCUGCGGGUUCCGGCCGUUAAACAGCCUUACAAAACCCCAGGUUGACCUCGGAUCAGGUAGGAAGACCCGCUGAACUUAAGC